rnacentral:lncRNA from 1 species
GAAGCUGCGAAGAUGGCGGAGUAAGGCGUGCCGCUGCAAACUGGCCUCUGGGCCGGGGGCGAGCAGCCCCCGGGAGGCCGAGUGCAUCUGUUGGACCGUGCGAGGAGAAGAAAAAAAAUAUCGGCCAGAGGAGAGGAACUAACCGAACAUUCUUCCUCCCUACCUUAUAGAGGGGAGUGGUCAUCUACACUAAAGCAAAGUGUUAGGCGCGUCCGUGCGAAGAGACCACCAAACAGGCUUUGUGUUCCUUAUCACAGGAAGAAAAUUUUCCUUGACCUUUAGGUGCUUUUAUAUUCAUCUCAAAAACAAAAUUCUGAACUCAGGACUUGGCAAAUGGAGUUUUGCCAUGUUGGCCAGGCUGGUCUCCAACUCCUGACCUCAGGUGAUCCACCCCCCUCAGCCUCCCAAAGUGCUAGGAUUACAGGCUUGGGCCACCGCGCCUGACGGAGUUUCACUCUGUUGCUCAGGCCAGAGUGCAGUGGCACAAUCUCAGAUCACUGCAACCUCUGCCUCCCGGGUUCAAGCAAUUCUCCUGCCUCAGCCUCCCGAGUAGCUGGAAUUACAGGUGUCUCUAUGUUGUCUCCUAGAGUGGGUAGUCCUGCUUCUUUUACCCAGUUACUUUCCCGUUUUUGAAAUGUGGCUAUCACUUCUCUACACAUUACCUCCAUGAUUUGGAAUGGAAAAGGCCACUUUUCUUUUUGUUCUGCCUCUCAAAUUCAACACAGAGGAGCUCCUAGGAUUCCAGUUAUCCUGCUAACAUCUCCAGGAAGAAAGAAGCAACUCACAUGGGUCUUUUGCUGUUUGCUUAAUUAUAAAGACAUCAUUUUGCAAGCAGAAGGCUGAGUUUCAUUUGAAACAGGUGCUUAGGUGGUGGUAUUUGUGAAUACUUUUCAUUCCAAGCAAGAAGACUAAAGAAGUAGCAAGUAUGAAUGACUUCAGGGUUUAAAAAAAAUGUCUUCCAGUUUCAGCCACUACCAUGAUAAGCACAGUUGAGACUGCAGCAGUAAAUUCCAAAUAUGUGUUUCUAAUUUGACGUGAAAGAUACUAAAAAUUUAUAUUUGUAUAUUUAAAUCCUGGCUCAUCCUGUGACAUAGAUUUACUGAAUAGGAACAAAGGCCCAAUUUUAAACAAAAACCUAGGCCGGGUGUGGUGGCUCACACCUGUAAUCCCAACACUUUGGGAGGCCAAGGCAGGCAAAUCACCUGAGGUUGGGAGUUUGAGACCAGCCUGACCAACAUGGAGAAACCCCAUCUCUACUAAAAA